CCUACGGGGGGCAGCAGUGGGGAAUAUUGGGCAAUGGGCGCAAGCCUGACCCCGCAACGCCGCGUGAAGGAAGAAGGCUCUCGGGUUGUAAACUUCUUUUAUCAGGGACGAAGCAAGUGACGGUACCUGAUGAAUAAGCCACGGCUAACUACGCGCCAGCAGCCGCGGUAAUACGUAGGGGGCAAGCGUUAGCCGGAGUUACGGGGUGUAAAGGGCGUGUAGGCGGGAAAGCAAGUCAGAUGUGAAAACCAUGGGCUCAACCUGUGGCCUGCAUUUGAAACUGUUUGUCUGGAGUACUGGAGAGGCAGACGGAAUUCCUAGUGUAGCGGUGAAAUGCGUAGAUAUUAGGAGGAACACCAGUGGCGAAGGCGGGCUGCUGGACAGCAACUGACGCUGAGGCGCGAAAGCGUGGGGAGCAAACAGGAUUAGAUACCCCAGUAGUC
rnacentral:rRNA from 1 species